rnacentral:rRNA from 1 species
UACGAAGGGGGGCUAGCGUUGCUCGGAAUGACUGGGCGUAAAGGGCGCGUAGGCGGAUGGCACAGUCAGAUGUGAAAUUCCCGGGCUUAACCUGGGGGCUGCAUUUGAUACGUGUUGUCUAGAGUGAGGAAGAGGGUUGUGGAAUUCCCAGUGUAGAGGUGAAAUUCGUAGAUAUCGGGAGGAACACCAGUGGCGAAGGCGGCGAUCUGGGAAGAUACUGACGCUGAGGUGCGAAAGCGUGGGGAGCAAACAGG